CUUUAGGUACAUAACUUUGAAUUUCAAUAAAACAUAGAACAAUUUAGUAACAGAGUAUUAUUAUUUACUAAAUAAUUUUACAUAUU